rnacentral:tRNA from 1 species
GCCCAGCUGACUCAGUCAGUGGAGUGAGGGACUCUUGAUCUCAUGGUUGUGAGUUCAAACCCACAUUGGGUA